rnacentral:rRNA from 1 species
UUGUUGGUAAGGUAAAAGCUUACCAAGGCUUCGAUCAGUAGCUGGUCUGAGAGGACGACCAGCCACACUGGGACUGAGACACGGCCCAGACUCCUACGGGAGGCAGCAGUGGGGAAUUUUGGACAAUGGGGGCAACCCUGAUCCAGCCAUGCCGCGUGAGUGAAGAAGGCRUUCGUUGUAAAGCUCUUUCAGCCGGAACGAAACGGUUACGGAUAACACCCGUGACUACUGACGGUACCGGAAGAAGAAGCACCGGCUAACUACGUGCCAGCAGCCGCGGUAAUACGUAGGGUGCGAGCGUUAAUCGGAAUUACUGGGCGUAAAGCGUGCGCAGGUGGUUUUGUAAGUCAGAUGUGAAAGCCCCGGGCUCAACCUGGGAACUGCGUUUGAAACUACAAGACUAGAGUGUGGCAGAGGGGGGUGGAAUUCCGCGUGUAGCAGUGAAAUGCGUAGAGAUGUGGAGGAACACCGAUGGCGAAGGCAGCCCCCUGGGUCAACACUGACGCUCAGGCACGAAAGCAUGGGGAGCAAACAGGAUUAGAUACCCUGGUAGUCCAUGCCCUAAACGAUGUCAACUAGUUGUCGGGCCUUUACGGGCUUGGUAACGUAGCUAACGCGUGAAGUUGACCGCCUGGGGAGUACGAUCGCAAGAUUAAAACUCAAAUGAAUUGACGGGGACCCGCACAAGCGGUGGAUUAUGUGGAUUAAUUCGAUGCAACGCGAAAAACCUUACCUACCCUUGACAUGUAUCGAAGCCCGCAGAAAAGCGGGGGUGCCCGAAAGGGAGCGAUAACACAGGUGCUGCAUGGCUGUCGUCAGCUCGUGUCGUGAGAUGUUGGGUUAAGUCCCGCAACGAGCGCAACCCUUGUCAUUAAUUGCCAUCAUUUAGUUGGGCACUUUAAUGAGACUGCCGG